UACCCAUAGUAUAAUGAAGUGGCAUCACUUUAUUAUUAAAGAUUUAUCACUCGAAGAUGGCUGUGCGGCUGAUUAGGUAGUUGGCGGGUAAAGGCCCACCAAGCCUGCGAUCAGUAACUGGUGUGAGAGCACGACCAGUCACACGGGCACUGAGACACGGGCCCGACUCCUACGGGAGGCAGCAGUAAGGAAUAUUGGUCAAUGGAGGCAACUCUGAACCAGCCAUGCCGCGUGGAGGAUGAAGGUCCUCUGGAUUGUAAACUUCUUUUAUAUGGGACGAAAAAGGCUUUUCUAAGUCGUCUGACGGUACCAUAUGAAUAAGCACCGGCUAACUCCGUG
rnacentral:rRNA from 1 species